rnacentral:sRNA from 1 species
GCCGGAUGCUGUGGUGUGCACUUGUAAUCCCAGUAGCCUGGGAGGCUGAGACAGGAGGAUUGCAAGUUCAAAGCCAGCUUCAGCAAUGCCAAGGCCCUAAACAAGACCCUGUCUCUA